rnacentral:rRNA from 1 species
CUUGCCAGGGAACUACGAGCCCCAGCUUAAAACCCAAAGGACUUGGCGGUGCUUUAGACCCACCUAGAGGAGCCUGUUCUAGAACCGAUACCCCCCGUUCAACCUCACCCUCUCUUGUUUUUUCCGCCUAUAUACCGCCGUCGUCAGCUCACCCCAUGAGGGCUUAAUAGUGAGCAAAAUUGGCACAACCCAAAACGCCAGGUCGAGGUGUAGCGUACGAGAGGGGAAGAAAUGGGCUACAUUCACUAAGUAAGUGCAUACGAAUACUGUUUUGAAAUAAACAUUUGAAGGAGGAUUUAGCAGUAAGUGGGGAAUAGAGCGCCCCUCUGAAACUGGCCCUGAAGCGCGCACACACCGCCCGUCACUCUCCCCGAAAUAGUAAACAAUGAAUAAAUAAAUAAUAACGAAGACAAAGGGGAGGCAAGUCGUAACAUGGUAAGUGUACCGGAAGGUGCACUUGGAAAAAC